UGAGGAAUAUUGGUCAAUGGGCGGAAGCCUGAACCAGCCAUCCCGCGUGAAGGAAGGCGGCCCUAUGGGUUGUAAACUUCUUUAGUACAUGAAGAACAGGAUCUACGCGUAGGUUUAUGACGGUAAUGCACAAAAAAGCAUCGGCUAACUCCGUGCCAGCAGCCGCGGUAAUACGGAGGAUGCGAGCGUUAUCCGGAUUCAUUGGGUUUAAAGGGUACGUAGGUGGCCCUGUAAGUCAGUGGUGAAAAUCUGCCGCUUAACGGUAGGGGUGCCAAUGAUACUGCGGGGCUUGAGUACAGUUGAGGUAGGUGGAAUGUGUAGUGUAGCGGUGAAAUGCAUAGAUAUUACAUAGAACUCCGAUUGCGAAGGCAUCUUACUAAGCUGAAACUGACACUGAUGUAUGAAAGCGUGGGGAUCGAACAG
rnacentral:rRNA from 1 species